GCCUGGGUGGCUUAGUCAGUUAAGCAUCUGACUUUAGUUCAGGUCAUGAUCUCAGUUUGUGGGUGCGAGCCCCAUGUCGGGCU
rnacentral:tRNA from 1 species